rnacentral:lncRNA from 1 species
AGAAACCACAGUAACUGUGUACUUCGGGCAAAGUGCCUGGUCCUCAGGAACCCAGGACGUGACGGGGAAGGCAUCUGCAUGCAGGGAAACAUCCCAUUGUAAACCCUCGGGGCCUUCGAUACACAGCACUGAAAGGGCCUUAUCUGGACCCUCCUGCUCCCCCUGCACAUCACUGACAGAGUCUUCCAGUCCCAGGAAACCUUGGAACACACAAAAAGGCACGCUGCGUCCUUCCCUCACCCUUGCAGGGCCUCCCUGAGCUGCUCCACACUCUGGACCCAAUGGGAAACAGAAAACCCACAGGAAUGCCAACGACUCUCCUCCGUAGAAACGCCAGUGGUGCCCGUCACGUGCUGAUUGAACAUAGAACACAGCCAGGAGCGGU